rnacentral:rRNA from 1 species
UACGUAGGGCGCGAGCGUUGUCCGGAAUUAUUGGGCGUAAAGAGCUCGUAGGCGGCUUGUCACGUCGGGUGUGAAAAGACCGGGGCUUAACUCCGGUUCUGCAUUCGAUACGGGCUAGCUAGAGUGUGGUAGGGGGAGAUCGGAAUUCCUGGUGUAGCGGUGAAAUGCGCAGAUAUCAGGAGGAACACCGGCUGGCGGAAGGCGGAUCUCUGGGCCAUUACUGACGCUGAGGAGCGAAAGCGUGGGGAGCGAACAGG